rnacentral:rRNA from 1 species
GAUGAACGCUGGCGGCGUGCCUAAUACAUGCAAGUCGAGCGAACAGACGAGGCGCUUGCUUCUCUGACGUUAGCGGCGGACGGGUUAGUAACACGUGGAUAACCUACCUAUAAGACUGGGAUAACUUCGGGAAUCCGGAGCUAAUACCGGAUAAUAUAUUGAACCACAUGGUUCAAUAGUGAAAUACGGUUUUGCUGUCACUUAUAGAUGGAUACGCGCCGCAUUAGCUAGUUGGUAAUGUAACGGCUUACGAAGGCAAAGAUGCUUACCCGCCAUGAAAGCGUGAAUGGCUAGACGAGAAGUGAGACAGGGCCGAGACACCGGGGGGAGGCAGCAGUAGGGAAUCCUACGCGAGGGGGGAGAGCCUGACAGAGCAACGCCGCGUGAGUCAUGAAGGUGUGCGGAUCGGAGAACGCUGUUAUUAGGGAAUAACAAAUGUGUAAGUAACUAUGCACGUCUUGACGGUACCUGAGCAGAAAGCCACGGCUAACUACGUG